rnacentral:rRNA from 1 species
UGGGGAAUCUUGCACAAUGGGCGAAAGCCUGAUGCAGCAACGCCGCGUGCGGGAAGACAGCCCUAGGGUUGUAAACCGCUUUCAGCAGGGAAGAAACUGACGGUACCUGCAGAAGAAGAUGCGGCCAACUACGUGCCAGCAGCCGCGGUGACACGUAGGCAUCAAGCGUUAUCCGGAUUUAUUGGGCGUAAAGAGCUCGUAGGCGGUUCGGUAAGUCGGGUGUGAAAACUCUGGGCUCAACCCAGAGAGGCCACUCGAUACUGCUGUGACUAGAGUGCGGUAGGGGAGCGGGGAAUUCCUGGUGUAGCGGUGAAAUGCGCAGAUAUCAGGAGGAACACCAGUGGCGAAGGCGCCGCUCUGGGCCGUAACUGACGCUGAGGAGCGAAAGCAU